AUUGAACGCUGGCGGCAGGCUUAACACAUGCAAGUCGAGCGAGCGGCGGACGGGUGAGUAAUGUCUGGGAAACUGCCUGAUGGAGGGGGAUAACUACUGGAAACGGUAGCUAAUACCGCAUACCAUCAGAUGUGCCCAGAUGGGAUUAGCUAGUAGGUGGGGAAAGGGCUCACCUAGGCGACGCACCCUAGCUGGUCUGAGAGAAUGACCGGCAAAACUGGAACUGGAAAACGGUCAAGACUCUGAGGGGGGGAAGCAGUGGGGAAUAUGGCACAAGGGGGGAAAGCCGGAUGCAGCAAUGCGGGGUGUGGGAAGAGGGCCUUGGGGUUGUAAAGCACUUUCAGCGAGAAGGGGUAACUCGAAGAAGAAGCACGGGCUAACUCCGUGCCAGAAGCGGCGUAAUUC
rnacentral:rRNA from 1 species